GACGAACGCUGGCGGCGUGCUUAACACAUGCGAGUCGUACGGUAAGGCCCUUUCGGGGGUCCACGAGUGGCGAACGGGUGAGUAACACGUGAGUAACCUGCCCACAACUUUGGGAUAACGCUAGGAAACUGGUGCUAAUACUGGAUAUGUGCUCCUGCUGCAUGGUGGGGGUUGGAAAGCUCCGGCGGUUGUGGAUGGACUCGCGGCCUAUCAGCUUGUUGGUGGGGUAGUGGCCUACCAAGGCGGCGACGGGUAGCCGGCCUGAGAGGGUGACCGGCCACAGUGGGACUGAGAUACGGCCCAGACUCCUACGGGAGGCAGCAGUGGGGAAUAUUGCACAAUGGGCGCAAGCCGGAUGCAGCAACGCCGCGUGCGGGAGGACGGCCUUCGGGUUGUAAACCGCGUUCAGCAGGGACGAAGCUUUUUGUGACGGUACCUGCAGAAGAAGCACCGGCUAACUACGUG
rnacentral:rRNA from 1 species